ACUCCUACGGGAGGCAGCAGUAAGGAAUAUUGCGCAAUGGGCGACAGCCUGACGCAGCNACGCCGCGUGGGGGAUGAAGGUCUACGGAUUGUAAACCCCUUUCGGCAGGGAAGAUGGAACGGGUAACCGUUCGGACGGUACCUGCAGAAGCAGCCACGGCUAACUUCGUGCCAGCAGCCGCGGUAAU
rnacentral:rRNA from 1 species